rnacentral:rRNA from 1 species
AGAGUUUGAUCCUGGCUCAGAAUAAAUGCUAUCGGUAUGCUUAACACAUGCAAGUCGAAUGUUUUAAAAACAUGGCGAACGGGUGAGUAACACGUGAAUUAUCUACCUUUUAAUUCGGAAUAAUUAUUUUUAUAAAAAUACGGAAUAAAUAAAUUAAAGUUUUUUAACGUUAAAAGAUGAGUUUGCGCAAGAUUAUGGUAGUUGGUAGUUUAAAAGACUACCAAGCCUAUUAUCUUUAGCUGGUUUGAAAGAAUGAUCAGCCACAUUGGGACUGAGACACGGCCCAAACUUUUUUAAAGGCAGCAGUGGGGAAUUUUGGACAAUGAGCGAAAGCUUGAUCCAGCAAUACCGAGUGAGUGAUGACGGCUAAUUAGGUUGUAAAGCUCUUUCAUUAAGGAGGAAAAUGACAGUACUUAAAAAAGAAGUUCCGGCUAAUACCCGUGCCAGCAGCCGCGGUAAUACGGGAGGAGCGAGCAUUAUUCGGAAUGAUUAGGCGUAAAGGGUUUGUAGGUGGUUUUUUAAGUUGAAAGAAACAAAUUAAAGCUCAACUUUAUAUAUUUUUUCAAAACUGAUAAACUGGAGUAUAAAUAGAGGAUAAUGGAAUUUCUAUUGGAGUGAUAAAAUACGUUGAUAAUAGAAGGAAGAUCUAUGGCGAAGGCAAUUAUCUGGGUAUAUACUGACACUGAGAAACGAAAGCUUGGGUAGCGAACGGGAUUAGAUACCCCGGUAGUCCAUGCUGUAAACGAUGAGUGCUAAUAUUUAGAAUUUUUAGAUAUAACAGCUAACGCGUUAAGCACUCCGCCUGAAAAGUAUAAUCGCAAGAUUGAAAUUCAAAGGAAUUGACGGGAGUCUACACAAGCGGUGGAGCAUGUGGUUUAAUUCGAAGCAACGCGCAGAACCUUACCACCUUUUGACAUGCCUGGACCGCCACGGAGACGUGGCUUUCCCUUCG